ensembl:misc_RNA
UUGCUACGCUGGUGCCUGGAGCCAGCCCUGUCUACAGAGCAGGCAUAGCCUAGGCAGCAGCAGAGCAAGCUUCCCUCACACAUGCUGCCAUGCCAAUGUGCCUCGUCCUGAUCUGACAGAACUCCCGCUACCCUCUCCUAGGGGUAGGUCAUUUUCACAUUCUGCAGCCCAUGCAGUCCUUGGCAUCU